rnacentral:pre_miRNA from 1 species
CAACCUCCACAGGCUGGCUGGGCUGGGCGAGUAUCUCUUUGAAAGGCUCACCUUCAAGUACAACUAGGAGC